rnacentral:rRNA from 1 species
UACGGGGGGGGCAAGCGUUGUUCGGAAUUACUGGGCGUAAAGGGCGCGUAGGCGGCCCUCUAAGUCAGACGUGAAAUCCCACGGCUCAACCGUGGAACUGCGUCUGAUACUGGAGGGCUUGAAUCCGGGAGAGGGAUGUGGAAUUCCAGGUGUAGCGGUGAAAUGCGUAGAUAUCUGGAGGAACACCGGUGGCGAAGGCGGCAUCCUGGACCGGUAUUGACGCUGAGGCGCGAAAGCUAGGGGAGCAAACGGG